rnacentral:rRNA from 1 species
AGCGAACGUUUGCGGCGGGCCUAACACAUGCAAGUCGAACGGGCAGUCCCUUCGGGGGCUGUCAGUGGCGCACGGGUGCGUAACACGUAGGUAAUCAACCCUCGGGUUCGGGAUAACACUUCGAAAGGGGUGCUAAUACCGGAUGCGACGAGCGUCUCCUCGGAGAUGCACGGGAAAGAUCCGCAAGGGUCGCCCGAGGACGAGCCUGCGGCCCAUCAGCUUGUUGGUGAGGUAAUGGCUCACCAAGGCUAAGACGGGUAGCUGGUCUGAGAGGAUGAUCAGUCACACUGGAACUGAGACACGGUCCAGACUCCUACGGGAGGCAGCAGUGGGGAAUAUUGCGCAAUGGGCGAAAGCCUGACGCAGCCACGCCGCGUGAGCGAUGAAGGCCUUC